AACGAACGCUGGCGGCAGGCUUAACACAUGCAAGUCGAACGCCCCGCAAGGGGAGUGGCAAACGGGUGAGUAAUACAUGGGAAUGUACCUUUUAGUUCGGGAUAGCCUCGGGAAACUGGGAUUAAUACCGGAUGCGCUCUACGGAGGAAAGAUUUAUCGCUGAAAGAUCAGCCCAUGCCAGAUUAGCUAGUUGGUGAGGUAAUGGCUCACCAAGGCAGUGAUCUGUAGCGGGUCUGAGAGGAUGAUCCGCCACACUGGGACUGCGAUACGGCCCAGACUCCUACGGGAGGCAGCAGUGAGGAAUAUUGGACAAUGGAGGCAACUCUGAUCCAGCCAUGCCGCGUGAAUGAUGAAGGCCUUAGGGUUGUAAAGUUCUUUAAGUGGGGAAGAUAAUGACGGUACCCACAGAAUAAGCACCGGCUAACUUCGUGCCAGCAGCCGCGGUAACAC
rnacentral:rRNA from 1 species